rnacentral:rRNA from 1 species
AUACGGAGGAUCCGAGCGUUAUUCGGAUUUAUUGGGUUUAAAGGGAGCGUAGGUGGUUUGUUAAGUCAGUUGUGAAAGUUUGCGGCUCAACCGUAAAAUUGCAGUUGAAACUGGCAGUCUUGAGUACAGUAGAGGUGGGCGGAAUUCGUGGUGUAGCGGUGAAAUGCUUAGAUAUCACGAAGAACUCCGAUUGCGAAGGCAGCUCACUAGACUGGUACUGACACUGAUACUCGAAAGUGUGGGUAUCAAACAGGAUUAGAUACCGUGGUAGUCCACACAGUAAACGAUAAAUACUCGCUGUUUGCGAUAUACAGUAAGCGGCCAAGCGAAAGCAUUAAGUAUUCCACCUGGGGAGUACGCCGGCAACGGUGAAACUCAAAGGAAUUGACGGGG